GGCAACCAAGCUGCUAGUCAGGCUCGGCCCGAUCCUCCCACCCUUUGUGUACCUACCUCUGUUGCUUUGGCGGGCCGCGGUCCUCCGCGGCCGCCCCCCUCCCCGGGGGGGUGGCCAGCGCCCGCCAGAGGACCAUCAAACUCCAGUCAGUAAACGAUGCAGUCUGAAAAACAUUUAAUAAACUAAAACUUUCAACAACGGAUCUCUUGGUUCUGGCAUCGAUGAAGAACGCAGCGAAAUGCGAUAAGUAAUGUGAAUUGCAGAAUUCAGUGAAUCAUCGAAUCUUUGAACGCACAUUGCGCCCUUUGGUAUUCCGAAGGGCAUGCCUGUUCGAGCGUCAUUACAACCCUCAAGCUCUGCUUGGUAUUGGGCACCGUCCUUUGCGGGCGCGCCUCAAAGACCUCGGCGGUGGCGUCUUGCCUCAAGCGUAGUAGAACAUACAUCUCGCUUCGGAGCGCAGGGCGUCGCCCGCCGGACGAACCUUCUGAACUUUUCUCAAGGUUGACCUCGGAUCAGGUAGGGAUACCCGCUGAACUUAAGCAUAUCAAUAAGCCGGAGGAA
rnacentral:rRNA from 1 species